UCGAGAAUCUUUCACAAUGGGCGAAAGCCUGAUGGAGCGACGCCGCGUGGGGGAAGAAUGGCUUCGGCCCGUAAACCUCUGUCAUUCGCGAGCAAUGCUUACGUCCUAAUACGAUGUAAGUUGAUAGUAGCGA
rnacentral:rRNA from 1 species